UACGUAGGUGGCAAGCGUUAUCCUGAAUCACUGGGCGUAAAGCGUGCGUAGGCGGUCUGUUAAGUGAGAUGUGAAAUCGUGUGGCUCAACCAUAUCGUUGUGUCUCAUACUGGCAGACUAGAGGAUAGCAGAGGCAAGUGGAAUUACGAGUGUAGCAGUGAAAUGCGUAGAGAUUCGUAGGAACACCAAUGGCGAAGGCAGCUUGCUGGGCUAUAUCUGACGCUCAGGCACGAAAGCGUGGGGAGCGAACAGG
rnacentral:rRNA from 1 species